rnacentral:snRNA from 1 species
AACGCCCUCGACCUAUUCUCA